rnacentral:rRNA from 1 species
GCGAGCGAAAAGAAAAUAGUUCAGCACUAAGUCACUUUGCCUUUAUGACAAAUGUGAGAUGCAGUGUAUGGAACUUCUAUAAUCUAGUAUGAUAAAUUAAUGAUUUAAGUCCUUCUUAAAAGAGGCCAUUUACCCAUAGAGGGUGCCAGGCCCGUAUAACAUUAAUGAUUACUAGAAGAUGCUUCCAAAGAGUCGUGUUGCUUGAUAGUGCAACACUAAGUGGGUGGUAAACUCCAUCUAAAACUAAAUAUGACCAUGAGACCGAUAGUAAACAAGUACCGUGAGGGAAAGUUGAAAAGAACUCUGAAUAGAGAGUUAAAUAGUACGUGAAACUGCUUAGAGGUUAAGCCCGAUGAACCUGAAUAUCCAUUAUGGAAAAUACAAUAUUAUGACUAUAAUAUUAAUAAAAUAUUUGUAGAAAUGGUAUGCAUUUUUUCCAUAUAAGGACAUUGUAAUCUAUUAAUUUUGUUUUAUAUAUUUAUCAGAAAAUCAUUAGCUUUAAUGUUUAUUUAAAUUAAAUUGCUUGCAUUUUAACAUAAAAUAAAUGCUUUUGAUUUGAUAAAGUAUUAAUAGAUUUAUUUGAAUAUAGUGCUUAAAUUUAUUAUAAUUUUGUAAUAUUUGUAAUUAUCAUUUGAUAAUUAUAUUUAUUUACAUGCACUAAUAUGAUUAACAAUGCGAUAGAUUCAGGAUACCUUCGGGACCCGUCUUGAAACACGGACCAAGGAGUCUAACAUAUGUGCAAGUCAUUGGGAUUAUAUAUGUAAACCCAAUGGCAUAAUUAACAUAAAUGUUUAUAAUGGGAUUAAUUUAUAAAAUAUAUUUAUAUAGAUUAUAUAUUCAAUCCCGGGGCGUUCUAUAUAGUUAUGUGUAAUAAUAUUUAUAUUAUUUAUACCUCUAACUGGAGCGUACCUUGAGCAUUUAUGCUGUGACCCGAAAGAUGGUGAACUAUACUUGAUCAGGUUGAAGUCAGGGGAAACCCUGAUGGAAGACCGAAACAGUUCUGACGUGCAAAUCGAUUGUCAGAAUUGAGUAUAGGGGCGAAAGACUAAUCGAAUCAU